AACUGAUCAAGCCAAUCAACUGUCUCACCUAUUCAGAGGGCCUGAUACAGAUGGGGGCCCCUCAACCAAAUCCACCAAGUGUUCCGAAGAGCUCCCAGCAACUAAAAGAAUGAAAAAUUUGCUGCUGAAGCAGAACAUUAAUUCUUUAAAAGAAGAACACAUCAAGUAUCAAUCUGUAAGGAAGAUUUUAUAAAAAAUAGAAAUUGUAAAUUUAAAUAUUUAUCUGAAAGGUGACACAGUAUACAUUGAAUUCUGUGUGUGUUUGUAAUAUUUUCUCAUUAAAAUGCACUAUGCAAA